rnacentral:tRNA from 1 species
GGGGUUGUAGUUAAUUAUAACAUUUGAUUUGCAUUCAAAAAGUGCUGAAAUUUCAGCCUACCUU